rnacentral:rRNA from 1 species
CAGCCGCGGUAAUACCCGCAGCCCGAGUGGUGGUCGAUUUUAUUGAGUCUAAAACGUUCGUAGCCGGUCUGAUAAAUCCUUGGGUAAAUCGGGAAGCUUAACUUUCCGAAUUCCGAGGAGACUGUCAGGCUUGGGAUCGGGAGAGGUAUGAGGUACUUCAGGGGUAGGGGUAAAAUCCUGUAAUCCUUGGAGGACCACCGGUGGCGAAGGCGUCAUACUAGAACGAAUCCGACGGUGAGGGACGAAGCCCUAGGUCGCAAACGGGAUUAGAUACCCCGGUAGUCUAGGGUGUAAACGCUGCAGACUUGGUGUUGGGGGCCCUUCGGGGGCAUUCAGUGCCGGAGAGAAGUUGUUAAGUCUGCUACUUGGGGAGUACGUCCGCAAGGAUGAAACUUAAAGGAAUUGGCGGGGGAGCACCGCCAACGGGAGGAGCGUGCGGUUUAAUUGGAUUCAACACCGGAAAACUCACCAAGGGAGACCAUCACAUGAAAGCCAGGCUAAUGACUUUGCUUGAUUCUUGGAGGGGUGGUGCAUGG